GGCUCAGAUUGAACGCUGGCGGCAUGGUUAAAACAUGCAAGUCGAACGCGAAAGCACUUCGGUGCAAGUAGAGUGGCGAAAGGGCGAGGAAUAACUACCUAACGUGCCUUCAGGUAAGGGAUAGCUCAUGGAAACGUGUGGUAAUACCUUAUAAUCUCAUUGCUUCAUAUGGAGUUUUGAGCAAAGGCUUGCUGCCUGAAGAUCGGGGUAGUUCCUAUCAGCUUGUUGGUGAGGUAACGGCUCACCAAGGCGAAGACGGGUAGCGGGUGUGAGA
rnacentral:rRNA from 1 species